GAUGAACGCUAGCGGCGUGCCUAACACAUGCAAGUCGAACGGGGUAAGAACUUCGGUUUUUACUUAGUGGCGAACGGGUGAGUAACGCGUGAGAAACCUGCCUUUCAGUGGGGGACAACAGUUGGAAACGACUGCUAAUACCGCAUAAUGUUAUUUGGGGGCAUCCUUGAAUAACCAAAGAUUUAUUGCUGAAAGAUGGUCUCGCGUCUGAUUAGCUAGUUGGUGAGGUAACGGCUCACCAAGGCGACGAUCAGUAGCCGGUCUGAGAGGAUGAACGGCCACAUUGGGACUGAGAUACGGCCCAGACUCCUACGGGAGGCAGCAGUGGGGAAUAUUGGGCAAUGGGGGAAACCCUGACCCAGCAACGCCGCGUGAAGGAAGAAGGCCUUCGGGUUGUAAACUUCUUUUACCAGGGACGAACAAAUGACGGUACCUGGAGAAAAAGCAACGGCUAACUACGUGCCAGCCGCCGCAGUAAGAC
rnacentral:rRNA from 1 species